rnacentral:rRNA from 1 species
UACGUAGGGUGCAAGCGUUGUCCGGAAUUAUUGGGCGUAAAGAGCUCGUAGGUGGCCUGUCGCGUCGGCUGUGAAAACUCGGGGCUCAACUCCGAGCUUGCAGUCGAUACGGGCAGGCUAGAGUUCGGCAGGGGAGACUGGAAUUCCUGGUGUAGCGGUGAAAUGCGUAGAUAUCGGGAGGAACACCAGUGGCGAAGGCGGUUGCCUGGGGCUUUGCUGACGCUGAUGCGCGAAAGCGUGGGGAGCGAUCCGG